rnacentral:lncRNA from 1 species
UGAUUUCCUCGCAAGACUCCCUAGCUGGCGACUUGGAAAAAAGUCGAUCACUUUUUUCGAAAAAGUCGAGGAGCUUUUGUCGUGAGUAUCUUUGAAUCACAGACGGCGCCAACUGAUGGGGGUGAAACCCGACCAGUACUCCAAGACACGCAAGCAAGCGCCAAGCGGGGAACUCCGCGGGAAACCGGACCGGAACUCAAGUGUGCAG